AUUGAACGCUGGCGGCAGGCUUUACACAUGCAAGUCGAGCGAGCGGCGGACGGGUGAGUAAUGUCUGGGAAACUGCCCGAUGGAGGGGGAUAACUACUGGAAACGGUAGCUAAUACCGCAUACUAUCAGAUGUGCCCAGAUGGGAUUAGCUAGUAGGUGGGGUAAUGGCUCACCUAGGCGACGAUCCCUAGCUGGUCUGAGAGGAUGACCAGCCACACUGGAACUGAGACACGGUCCAGACUCCUACGGGAGGCAGCAGUGGGGAAUUUUGGACAAUGGGCGCAACCCUGAUGCAGCCAUCCCGCGUGUAUGAAGAAGGCCUUCGGGUUGUAAAGCACUUUCAGCGGGGAGGCGUUACUCGCAGAAUAAGCACCGGCUAACUCCGUGCCAGCAGCCGCGGUAAUUC
rnacentral:rRNA from 1 species